rnacentral:lncRNA from 1 species
UCUAUGUACUGUUUAUCAUCACGGCUAUGGACGGCCCGGCGAAGAGAAAUAUACGUUACUCUCUUUACGCGGCCUCGAACUGGAGAAGGGCCGCCUAUAUAUGCAAUCGCUGUUAAGCGGCCGAACUCCGUAUGCGGCCCCACAGGCCGAUGCGCGCGCGAGAGAAGCGACAGGGCAGACAGGGCGCGGCGAAGCCGGCGAGCGUCGAAAACUACUGCACCACGCGUGCGCGCGAACAAAAAAAAAGGAAGAAAAAUUGAGACGCGCGCGCCGCGCACGUGAUCACAUGAUCCCCGGGGCGCGCGCAUGAAGGAAAAAAAAAAGAAAAAGAGGCGAGAACAGCGGAAGCUGAGAAGUUUCGUGCCGCGCGGCCGCGCCAUCGCGAGACGGGCAGGCCGGAGUUCGGUAACUUUCACUUGUUCGUCAACGUAGCUACUUGGAAAGCGCUCAACUGCGCCGACUGCGCGCUUUGCGCCUGCCGCUGUGUAAUAUGUUUUCGUCAGUGGAUAUGAAAGGUGUGUGUCGAGGGCAAUGUAACACACCGCAAUGUGAGUGCGACGGAUUUUGCCGCGCCGUGAACAAUGAGCCUGCCGCAGCAUACCAGGCCGGUUGGUGUGCGUACUGCGGCCACAAUCCGGUACAACAUGUUCGAAUUGGUGUUGCUCAACAAUACGAAUGUACUGCCACUGGAGGUGCCAACACCAGCAGCUUCGUAAUGCCUGCUUCACAGCAUAGCAUAACGGAGACGCCGUUCAUCAAAUGACAGGCACAGAACAAAGCUUGCAAGGACCAUGUGAAACUCCUGAUAUGGAAUUCACCUCUCUACAAUCUGCAGCUAGCUUGACAACUGAUGCAAAGUCUAGUACUUGUACUGAGACACUUGAGGCUUCCACGAGGUCAACCGCAGUUGCCACAACAGAUGACGCAUUAAGCUACCCCUCGGCAUUUCGACAAACUCCAGGACUGCUUCAGAGUGUUGUGGUCAAGGCAGACAAGUUUCCCCAGUGCUGGGCAAACAGCAAGCUUCUGCACAUUUUGCGUCAGUUAAAGUGUAGCUGGAUGCACGACUUGUUCCAUUUUCAGUGUUCGCUAUCAAGGUGCUGUCAGAGUGUACUAGAACAGGGUAGUUCUUGGAACGAGCUUCUAAAAGUGAAGCCAAAACAGUGUCCAUCCGCUUGUGGCAUUGCGAUCGGUAGUCUGCAAUGCGUCUUUGUUUAAAAGCUGCACACCGCUGAUUGCAGCGCCACAAGUGGAUUGACCCGGUUUGGGCUUCACUUUCGGUAAUGCGGCCGUUCCGACCACUCCCCUAUUCUAGUACAUUCUAGUGCUGUGUUACACAAGGCAGUGUUUGAUUUUAAGAAUAUUAUUUCUUUAUUGGAGGACAACAAUCUUACGAUAGUGCAUAACUAGCAUUCAACUAGCUUUCAGAUGUUGUGCAAAUGACGCAGGACAAAAGGGCGAUGCAGGCCACACGCAUGCUACAAUGUGUAUGCGUCACUCUUUUGCCCUCUGUCGUGUGAGCUGUGCCUAAGGCUUUUUGUAUGACAAGCUCGACAUACAAUUUAUGUUAAGAAUCAGAUAGUCACUGACAUCUUCUGUUGUUUAUUUGCAGUUGUGAAUAAAUGUCUUUGAUUCCAAAAUCGUAUAAAGAUACUGGAAUGGUUCAGAGUACCCGAAAUAUUUUAAUGUAACAUGAUUUGAUGACCAGUUUUUUUUUUGUUUGUUUAACAGAAGCUAUACCGAGUCGUGUUAAGACACAAAAAACUUUCAUGAGGGAGCACAGUGUUAAUACACUGAUGCUCGCUCUGGCCCACUUUAUAACUUGCUAACAAGGAGUAUUAGCUUAUGGGGCAAUUGAGUGAGCUGAUGAAAAGAGUGCUAAAACAUUGUGUCGUGGCCCUGUGUGGCCUUUUGUUUCCUUUUCUUUUUUUUAUGCCGCCUGAUACAAUUUCGCCUCUAGAAACAUAACUGAAUCUUGUGUGUAAAACACCUGAUAAAUAAGAAGUUUGUCAUCAUGCUCUGAAGUAUAUAUUUUUUCUAAGGUUUUGAAGUCUUGAUGUGUUCGUUGAAGGCACAAGAUUAAAAAAGAGCCCUUCAUCAGUUCUGCUUUAGGGUGUAUGUUGGGAGCACAACUUUUCUAAUCAUUCUUCGUCGCGCUAUCAGGUCAAAAAGAUAAGUUCGAAAGUAAGGUUGACACUAAUUUCCACCUUAGGCC